UUUGUACUCCCUCCGUCCGGAAAUACAUGUCGGAGAAAUGGAUGUAUCUAGAUGUAUUUUAGUUUUAGAUACAUCCAUUUUUAUCCAUUUCUCCGACAAGUAUUUUCGGACGGAGGGAGUAAUAU
rfam:Triticum aestivum genome assembly, contig: Triticum_aestivum_CS42_TGACv1_scaffold_642480_T_2DL-0.155713_2BL-0.141323